rnacentral:rRNA from 2 species
AGCGCGCGCAGGCGGUUUCUUAAGUCUGAUGUGAAAGCCCACGGCUCAACCGUGGAGGGUCAUUGGAAACUGGGGAACUUGAGUGCAGAAGAGAAAAGCGGAAUUCCACGUGUAGCGGUGAAAUGCGUAGAGAUGUGGAGGAACACCAGUGGCGAAGGCGGCUUUUUGGUCUGUAACUGACGCUGAGGCGCGAAAGCGUGGGGAGCAAACAGGAUUAGAUACCCUGGUAGUCCACGCCGUAAACGAUGAGUGCUAAGUGUUAGAGGGUUUCCGCCCUUUAGUGCUGCAGCUAACGCAUUAAGCACUCCGCCUGGGGAGUACGGUCGCAAGACUGAAACUCAAAGGAAUUGACGGGGGCCCGC